UAAGUAUUGGGUCACUAAACUGUUUCUACUAAUUCAACAUCAUAUCAAAUUGUACUUGUGCCCUUACUCCAGCUGACAUGAACUCUAACUAGUUCUUUUCAAUCAGGGCCAGACACAAAGAUGGAACGUCAGUCGUCAUAUGAUUGGCAAAAAUCAGCAAUGUCUAGGAAGCAUUAUGUAAAGUAUCUCCAAGGUAGGCUCAUAUUCUUUCUGUAA
rnacentral:lncRNA from 1 species